rnacentral:rRNA from 1 species
AUGGCGCCGUUCCAGAUGCGCUUCGGGCUCGGGAUCUCCCCGUCGCGCACCUACGACGAGGAGGAGGAGGAAGACGACGAGGAAGAGGAGGAGUUCGAGGAGGACGAGUUCGAAGAGGAGGCGGAGAGCGACGGGACGGCCUCGCCGCCGUCGGCGAUGAUGCAGGCCGGGAGGGGAGGCGGGCUGGUGGGCGCGGUGGUCGGCGCGCUGCGGCGGUCGCUGGUCAUGUGCAGCGCCGGCGCGAUGGGGGAGGACGACGACAGCGACAGCGGCGGCGAGGAGGAGGGGAUGGAGAUUGGGCGGCCCAUGGACGUGCGGCACGUCGCGCACGUCACCUUCGACCGCUUCGGCGGCUUCCUCGGCCUCCCCGCCGACCUCGAGCCCGACGUGCCCCGCCCCACGCCCGGCGUCAGUGCAAGUGUAUUUGGCGUUUCACCAACCUCUUUGCAAUGUUCAUAUGAUCAAAGAGGAAAUAGUGUGCCCACGAUACUCUUGAUGAUGCAGAGGAAGUUGUAUCUACGAGAAGGACUUAAGAUUGAAGGGAUCUUCAGAAUUAACGCAGAGAAUGGUCAAGAAAUCUGCGUCAGAGACCAAUUAAACAGCGGCGUGGUUCCGGAUGAAGUUGACUUACAUUGCCUGGCUGGGUUGAUAAAGGCAUGGUUUCGGGAACUUCCAACAGGAGUAUUGGACACGCUGACUCCAGAGCAAGUAAUGCACUGCAACACAGAAGAGGAGUGCGCUCUCCUUGCUUCUAUGCUACCGCCAGUUGAAGCAGCAUUACUUAACUGGGCUAUUAAUCUAAUGGCCGAUGUUGUGGAGCUUGAAAACUACAACAAGAUGAAUGCACGAAACAUCGCUAUGGUUUUUGCUCCAAACAUGACUCAGAUGGCCGAUCCAUUAACCGCCCUGAUGCAUGCAGUUCAGGUGAUGAAUUUCCUCAGGACUUUGAUCGUAAGGACCGUGAGGGAAAGGGAGGAGACAGCUGCAGCAUCCAUGACAUUGCAGUCAUGCUCCGAUUCCCCAAAUGACCAAGACGAACCUCAGGCGCCGGAGCAUUUGGCGAAACCGUUCACUUGUUCAACUCAGGAGAGGGUCGAUCACCCGAUGAUUGAUAAGGCUAUUUCCGAACAGUUCCUAUCUGAGGCUCAACAAGUCCUCCAUAACUCCAAAAAUGAUUUCGAAGAACAAGAGAAGAAGUGUGAUAUGGACCACAAUAAGUGCCACAGUGGAGUUCCUCCACGUCACAACGAUCCGAAUAGCCGAGUGAACAGUUCCGGAAAAGAAUUUGGUAGCAGAAACGCGGAGGGCUUGUUCGACAGAUUUAGUUUCAGGAAAGGUGUGGAGAGGCUGUGCAGGCACCCCGUGUUUCAGUUGAGUAGGUCCAUGAGGAAGGCCCCAGACGUGGCUGUGUUUGAUGCUCCCAGAGAAGCAAGACAAGCUUGGGUAUGA